ACUCCUACGGGAGGCAGCAGUAGGGAAUCUUCCACAAUGGACGAAAGUCUGAUGGAGCAACGCCGCGUGAGUGAAGAAGGUUUUCGGAUCGUAAAACUCUGUUGUCAGAGAAGAACGUGUGUGAGAGUAACUGUUCAUGCAGUGACGGUAUCUGACCAGAAAGUCACGGCUAACUACGUGCCAGCAGCCGCGGUAAU
rnacentral:rRNA from 1 species